CGCGCUCUCCUGAGGCGCAUGCGCACUCUCUCCUCGGAGGUACGAGGCAGUCCUAAGCAGCUUGCUUGAAUAUUCAUGAACGCGAGGGGCAGAAAGCAGAAGUUCACGUGUGAUCGGGAUAUGAUGAGAUGGGGCCAGGUGGGACAUCUUCUCUGUUCUAUUGUUGGAGCUGUGAAGAGUCUAGAUUGUUGCAGUUUCAGGCACACAAUCCUGUGCAAGAAAGAAAGGAAGGAAGGAAGGAAGAAAGAAAGAAAAUAACUUUAUAAAGCAAAGAAGGAGCCAGCAAAUUGCCUAAAAGUACUUGCUGACAUGACUGUUAAACUUCCAGGCUGUCUACUGUGGGAGGAGAGACCUGAUGUUGUCUUCUGUGUUCUCUCUCUCUCUCUCUCUCUCUCUCUCUCUCUCUCUCUCUCUCACACACACACACACACACCAUACAUGUAAUUUUAAAAAAUUAAAAGAAAAAAAAGAAACGAAAAAUGGCAUGUUAUUUAAUCCCAGCAUUGAGGAGGUUUAAACAGGAGGAUCAGGAGUUCAAAGCCAGCCUGUGGCUAUGAGACCUUUUUUCAAAAUCAAGUAAGCUGGACAUGUUGACAUGACAUAGGCCUCUAAUCCCAGUAAUGAAGAGGCAGAGGCAGGCAGAUCUCUGUGAGUUCAAGGCCAGCCUGGUCUACAGAGCAAGUUCCAGGACAACUAAGGGGACAUAGUGAGAACUUGUCUUUAAAAAGCAAAAACAAAACAAAAAGAAAGAAGACCUACCGCACACCCCCCCCCCAAACAACCAAAUACCUAGCCUAGUACCUCAGCUGUUAGCAUAAUGGUUUAGUAUGCCUAGGGUCCUAGGUUCAUCCCCCAGGCAUGGUGGCACGCAGCUGUGGUCCAAGCAUUUAGGAUGUGUAGGCAAAGGAUGGGUAGUUUAAGGUCCAUAUGCUACAUGAGGGCAGCCGAUAUGGUACCCUAGAUCAGUGGUUCUCAACCUUCUUAAUGCUGACACCCUUUAACACAGUUCCUCAUGCUGUGGUGACCCCAACCAUAAAAUCAUUUCAUUGCUGCUUCAUAACUGCAAUUUUGCCGCUGUUAUGACUCGUAUAUAUUUUUGUUUUCCUAUGGUCUUAGGUGACCCCUGUGAAAAAGCCAUGCAAUCCCCAAAGGGGUUGUGACCCACAAAUUGACAAUUACUGCACUAUAUCAAAAAGAAAGAGAGAGGGAUGGGUGGGUACAGGCAGGAGGGAGGAAACUUCCAUGGUUCAUAGUUGGGGAGUUGGGAGGUCUAGAGACAUCUGAUGAUGGCCUUCAUGUUGACGGUGCCCCAGGGCAGACACCAUGUCACAACAGAUGGGGAAUUUGUGUCCUCCGUCAUUUUGUAUUUAAUGUAGCUCAGGCUGGUCUGGAACCCAUGACCCUGUUGUCCCAGCCUCCUAAGUGCUAGGGUUACAUAGGUGCACCACCACACCCAACCCUCAGAUGCACUCGAGACUCAGAGUCAGCCAAGAGUGUCCAGCAAAACCCACAGAUUGGCUGAUGGUGAAAUAAACAGCUCCUUUUAGAUUCA
rnacentral:lncRNA from 1 species